GACAUUCACGGAAUCAUUGCCUCGAGGAGCCUGCUGAACAUCACGAGAAGAUGAAGACCACGUUGUACCUGCUCGUACUGUGCCUGGUAAUCGCCAGCACGCUGGCCAUCAAGGGCUUCGGCAAAUUCGGCCACAAAGGAGGAUUUGGACACGGUGGAGGAUUCGGACAUGGCGGAGGAUUCGGACACGGAAAGUUCGGCCACUACGGAUAGGCCCUACUCAUCUCAGAAUGAACCCUGCCAAAUAAAUGUAGAUACUUGAAUUCCGAACCAGA